GCAACGCUGUGCCUGCCGAGAGAGCGCGGUGCAACAACGAACCCCUUUUCAAGGAUUACUUUUUUUUCACUCUGUCCGGCCGACGGAUUCUAUUUGGAAAACUACUUGCUGCAACUUGCGCCGUCCGCAUGAAUCGCAAACUCGGCCCGAUGCUCUCUCAUCUCGUCCUUUGUCUCUUUUCUUUCUAGCUGAAAUAUCGUCGAGGGAUCGUUAAAGCCUAGAGAUUGGAACACUACACCCUCGCUACUUUAUCUCGAAAAUUAUCGAUAUACCGGGUGACGAUGGACGUGCACGCGAUCGAUAGGCACGACACUCUUUCGAUGGGAUGUUUAAACCCUUUGCGGUCUUGAGGCGUCGCACGGCGCUGAAAAUUAACGAAUAUAAUUUGCACAAAUAUGUGGUACAUAUUUUUUUUUUUUUUAAACUUCAUGAAUUUAAAAGACGUCGAAUAUUGCAACGAUGAAAAGAUCUCGAUUCAUAAUCAACUUCCAACUUGAAAUAAAAACAUUACAGAAGUGACGAUUCAUGAUAAUUGUGACGUCAGAUAAUUAAUCAGUUGCCUUUGGGAGACGUCAUAUCGCAAAUCGCAUACAGCUCUUGUUAAUUGUGACCAAAUGCAAAAUAUGUUAUUGUGUGAAAAGAAUAUUAAAUUUUCUUGAAUAAUGAAAAUUGAGGUAAAAUCGAGCAACGAUAAUAACUUAAAAAGCAUGGGUGGCUUUCUGAGAUAGGAUUUCUUUUCCUAAUCACAUAUAACUCAUCGGCAUGGUACAGUCUAUCGAUAUCUUAUCAGUGCUUGGAAGUAAUAGACAAAGAUACACACGAUACGUUUAUGUAAACUAAGAGAAUAAAACAAAAAAAUGCUGCGUCACACAAAAUCGUUAUCACGAGGUUAUCAACUCCGAUUUACGGUAAUUUUAUAUAAUUUUAUAUUGUUAAUAAAUUUGUUUGCUAUUCUCUUUCUUUUCAUUUGAAGACAAAAUACAUCAAAGUACAUAAAUUAUUCAAUAUCAGUUAGAUACGUAUACGUAUGUGAUGAAAGUGACUAAUAAAAAUACUCGAGUAAUUGGAAAGAUUGAUAUUUUUUAUAUUACAUAUUUAUAAAAUGGAAAGCGAUAUGAAAAAUCUAUGGUCCCAAUGUCGCAUGUGAAAUUAAAACGUUACGAGUUGCAUGUAUACGAGCGGUUCUCCUUGCAUGACAAUACUUGAAAAUCGAUUCGUCUAAAAUGAGGCUUUAAGGGUGCACCCUCUGCUUCUCUUUUUCCCUCUUUAUCGGUAGUGUCGGUGGCGCGAAAAGAAACGAUAUUGAUCUGUGUGCGAAACGUGUUAUCAGAAAACUCACUCGUGUGUAAAAUCUUACGAUGCGUUUGUGCAUUAUUCACCGUUCAAGAGUUUUUUUCGAACUCGACACUCUAUGCGUCCUUUUACGUUGAUUAAUCGUUUAACCUAAUUCAACUCGGCACAUAUUAAAAUAUUGCGUUUUUCAAAUUCGUGUAGCAAUGUAAUUUCGAUAUCUUCGACGAUUUCUUCAAUACAGAAAUGUUAGAAUAUUUAUCUAUAAUAUUAAAAUUGAGAAAUGUUUACGAGUACAUCUCAUUAAUAAAAUCUAUGUUGCAGAAAGAUUCAUUACUCUUAAAAUUUUAUUUCUACUUGUUUAUUUCUUCUUAAUUUAAAGUUAACUUCUGAAUUUAAAUUCACGAUUUACCUCAGUCUGAUUUAUCUUUUACAUAUAUCAAAUUAUAUUCUUUUAAUACUUGUGAAUUUUAAAAAUAAAAUGGCUCGAUUAUAUAUACAUGAUAUAGAAAGUGGAAUAAAUUUUUUAAAAAUAUUUUCGUGCGUCUCAAUUAAUGACAAUUCAUGCUUAUGCACACACGCAAUACAUAUUUUCACUUAUUGACAAAAUUAUUGACAAAAAUGCCAAGUAUAUAUACGAAAGAUAGAUCUGUAGUUAUAUUGUUCAGAUUUUUUAGAUGCGUAAUUUCCACUUGCGUGUUGAAAAUAUAUGAUGUAAAUACUGUGCUUUAUAGAGCAUGAUAAUAAAAAGUAAAAUAUUCGCAAAUUCGAUCUCUCUCUCUCUCUCUCUCUCGUGUUUAAACUCAUCACUACUAAAUAUUGAAUUUUGUACCGCAACUUUUCAGUAAAAAAAAAAUUCACAUUAUUAAUAAUAAAAAGAAAAUUGCACUAACAAUUGCAGAUGUUCUAAUAUAUCUGUCAACGUGUGAACAAAUCAGGAUUGUUAUUGUUAGCAUAAAAAAGGCGUGACGUGAUGUUUUUAACGGAGUGUUUGUAAAAGCGUCAAUUAUCCAUGUAAUUAAAAAAAAUUAAAUAUCAUUUUCGUUCGAUUAUAUAUAUACACACCAUUUGCGCUACUUCGGAUUAUGCCGAAUCAAUUAUGUCGUUAUUGAAGAGAUAUCGUAC